GACGAACGCUGGCGGCGUGCUUAACACAUGCAAGUCGAACGGAAAGGCCCUGCUUUUGUGGGGUGCUCGAGUGGCGAACGGGUGAGUAACACGUGAGUAACCUGCCCUUGACUUUGGGAUAACUUCAGGAAACUGGGGCUAAUACCGGAUAGGAGCUCCUGCUGCAUGGUGGGGGUUGGAAAGUUUCGGCGGUUGGGGAUGGACUCGCGGCUUAUCAGCUUGUUGGUGGGGUAGUGGCUUACCAAGGCUUUGACGGGUAGCCGGCCUGAGAGGGUGACCGGCCACAUUGGGACUGACAUACGGCCCAGACUCCUACGGGAGGCAGCAGUGGGGAAUAUUGCACCAUGGGCGGAAGCCUGAUGCAGCAACGCCGCGUGCGGGAUGACGGCCUUCGGGUUGUAAACCGCUUUCGCCUGUGACGAAGCGUGAGUGACGGUAAUGGGUAAAGAAGCACCGGCUCACUACGUG
rnacentral:rRNA from 1 species